GAUGAACGCUAGCGGCAGGCCUAAUACAUGCAAGUCGAACGAGAUUAAGAGGCUUGCUUCUUCUGAAAGUGGCGCACGGGUGCGUAACGCGUAUGCAACCUACCUUAAUCAGGGGGAUAGCCCGAAGAAAUUCGGAUUAAGACCGCAUAAAAACACAGGAUAGCAUUAUCCAAUGUUCAAAUAUUUAUAGGAUUAAGAUGGGCAUGCGUGUCAUUAGCUAGUUGGCGGGGUAACGGCCCACCAAGGCGACGAUGACUAGGGGAUCUGAGAGGAUGACCCCCCACACUGGUACUGAGACACGGACCAGACUCCUACGGGAGGCAGCAGUAAGGAAUAUUGGUCAAUGGAGGGAACUCUGAACCAGCCAUGCCGCGUGCAGGAAGACAGCCCUCUGGGUCGUAAACUGCUUUUAUUCGGGAAUAAACCUUUCUACGUGUAGGAAGCUGAAUGUACCGAAGGAAUAAGGAUCGGCUAACUCCGUG
rnacentral:rRNA from 1 species